AUUUUUUUCUGAAGGCUGCUACCUGUGAGGUUUCAUCUGCAUAGUUGCUAACUUUGGAGGAAGCCAGCUGCCAUGUCACAAAAAGAUUCAGGAAGCCAUGUGGAGAGGCCCACAUCAUGAGGAACUGAGGUCUUUGCCAAUUACCAGCAAGGAAAUGAGGCCUCCUGCCAACAGCCACGUGAGUAUCCUACCUUGGAAAUGGACCCUCUAACUUCAAUCAGCC
rnacentral:lncRNA from 1 species